UAUCUCUGUAGAGUCUGCAUAUCAAUAAGCGGAGGAAAAGAAACUAACUAGGAUUCCCUCAGUAACGGCGAGUGAAGCGGGAAGAGCUCAAAUUUGAAAUCUUCAAGGGUUUUCCCUUGACGAAUUGUAGUUUAAAGAAGUGUUUUCGGUUAGAGGAGUUCGUAAAAGUUCUUUGGAAUAGGACAUCAUAGAGGGUGAGAAUCCCGUAUUUGACCGUUAUCUUUCUAGCUGUGUGAUACACUUUCAAAGAGUCGGAUUGUUUGGGAAUGCAGUCCAAAAUGGGUGGUAAAUUUCAUCUAAAGCUAAAUAUUGGCGAGAGACCGAUAGCGAACAAGUACCGUGAGGGAAAGAUGAAAAGAACUUUGAAAAGAGAGUUAAACAGUACGUGAAAUUGUCAAAAGGGAAGCGUUUGACACCAGUGUUGUUUUCUCGAAAAUCAAUUAAAAAUGGCUUGAUUUUGUGUUGUAUUGACCUUAAAAGCUUUCUUCACUUUUUUCAUGUCUUUUUUAAUGCACUUUUCGUUUAACAAGUCAACAUCAGUUUCUUUUGUUGUAAAAGGGUCAUUGGAAGGUGGCUUUCUUUUCGGAGAAAGUGUUUAUAGCCUUUGAUCUCUGCAACCGGAGAGACUGAGGUCUGCAGCGUAGACUCUUCGGGGUUAGAUACAUUUGUGCUAAGCUAUAGCUUUUUAUAGACAACUUGUUGACUAUAUUUAGUCUUGUGGCUUACUCGCUUAUGCUAUUUUACCUACGCUUAGGAUGUUG
rnacentral:rRNA from 1 species